GGCGGAGAAACCUGAACUCCGUUGCUGGCAGGGAUGGUGGACUAAAUUUCACAUCCACAAAAACGGAUGCCAGUUUUUUUCGAUUAGCCAGAGGCGGAAGUGGAGAGGUAAAAUUCGAUUGCAUGCAUCGAUUGAGCCCAUGCAUUCUUGUUUGGGUUCGUUCCCUUUGAAAAUUCUUUAAACCAAUAUUUUUGUCACUAAAAACGUGCAUUGUACCAUCAUUGGUCUUGGAUUUCUGCCAAAUUAAAUUUACACCAUCUUGCGUUGACGAGUAAUUCCAUUGCAUGACAUGAAAACUUUUUGUUUCAUUUCGUUUUAAAACCUUGUCAUGCAUUAAAGUACUUUUUGUUGCAUUUUUACUUUGAAAACCUUUUUUUGUUACAUAAUAAUUUCUGCAUUAAAAUCUCUUUUAUAUAACGAACAUUAUCAUUUUCAAUUCAGAUUCCAUUCCAUUGCAUUUUCGACAUAGUCAUUGAUAGGAACAAUUUAUCACAAAAUUGUGUAUGAGAAUUAGCCAUCAAAUUGCUUCAUUCCAGAUUGAUUGUAAGUCAAUUAAUAAAUGAUAAAAUUUGUUAAGAUUCCCACAUUUAAACAUUCUAUUUAUUGAUAUUUUGAUAGAUAUUUUACUAAACCUGUAAUAAAUGUUAACACUAGCCUUCUAGGAAGUUUGAUGUGACUUUUUUUUAUAGGAGAAGUUAGAUAUAUAUAUGUCUUGUUUGUUAGUCUAUUUAAAUUUUAUUUCAUAUUAGUGUCAAUUAAAUAAGUAAUAUAAAGUAUAUUUAAAUAGAUAGAAUUAAUAUACUAAAGAGAAUAUAUUAGCAUCGUUUGUUUAUUAUAGUUUUUAGAAAAUGAAAAGAAAAAAAACCAAAAAGUUACAUAAAAUGAGAAGCUACUUUGAAUAACUUCUCUUGAAAAUCCUUUGAUCUUGAGAUUAAACCACCAAACUUUGGCUUAAUUUAGAUGUCAUCUUUAAAAAAACAGGAUUUGAUCUAUAGUCCAAAUAAAUGUAUUUUAGAUUUUAUCGACUUUGUUGAUUCAAUUUAUAAUUAUAAAAGAUCCAUUAAUAUAAUAUUAAAAAACCACAUUGAAUUAAUAGGUUUUUAUGUGAAAUAUAAGAUAUAAUACACUAAAAAAUAACAUUAUCAAAUAAUAAUGAUUGAUUAUGUUUAAAAUGUUAAAAUAAAAUAAAAUAAAAAGUUUAAGCCAAUAAGUAUUAUUAGAAGAAAAAAAAAACUAUAACUAACAAAUAAUAGAUUAAUGCAAUAUUUCAUGCUAAUAAAAAAUAAAUGAUAGAGUUGGAGUUAGUGGAAAAUUGAAGGGUAAUGGUGGCAACCGUUUCGCUGCAUGUUAACAAGUCAAAAAAAUGAGUCUGAGAUCAUAAGUAUGAAAGACACUACACGAUCAAUACAUCUUACAAUUUAUUACGUGAUUAGAGAAACUUAGAGAAUUUACCUUUGUAUUAUAUCAUUUCAAAUAAGAGAUCUAGAGUUACAAUGGCAAAGUUAGGACAAAUUUGAUGGGGUGGUUAAAUAUAAAGAAAAAAAAUUAAAAACUAAUAUAUUAAACUUAACCAAUAAGCAAAAACAUUCACAAACGAUAUUAAGAUUCACAAAAAAACUACUUAACCUAUAAGAAAAAAUAAAUCAAAAUCAAUACUUUUUUAAAUGUAACUUAUAUCAACAACAAAGGAAAUAAAACCAAAAAAUUAGCUAUUAGAAAUAUUGAGGUUGACGACGUUUUCAAUAAAUUCAUCCAUGUAUAAUUUGAUUAUAUACUAUGCAUACUUUCGAUGUCGUUUUCAACGUAAUAUUUUCGAUUCUAUUUCCAACUUCUAAAAAGUAAUUUUUAUUUUAUUUUAAUAAUUCUAAUAUGAAAAUGGGUUAUAAAUACUACCUGUUGGGACUAAAUAAUAAACCAACAAAUUAAUUAUUAUUGUUAUAUUUCUUUGGACCAAUAAAUAUAUAUUUGAGGUAGUCAAACAUAUAUUAUCACUUAUCAGGGAUAUUAAAAUAUAAAGAUAUACAUACUCACUAAAACAAAACAAUAAAAACUUAGGGUAGCAUUGACUACCUCAUAUUUAAAACAAAAUAAAAACAUUUAAUAAUAUUUGAUUUUGUAUGAUUUUUCAAUUUUUUUAGAAUUUUUAUUUAAAUUGAUUUGGACUUGAUCAUCCUUAAACACAAGAUAGAUUAUAUUUUUCUUUAAAAUCUCUAAAUUAAUAAAUACCAAAAUCACAUUUACCACAUUUUUUUAUAAUCCAACAACAACUAGUCUAAAUUACCGAAAAUAUAGUUAAAUUAUUUUUUUAACACAAAUUAAAAAAUCUAAUAUAAUGAUAAUAAUAAUAAUAAUAAUAAUUAUUAUUAUUAUUAUUAUUAUUAUUAUUUGUAGCUAUUUAAAUAAAUCAGUUUGAUAUGUCCAAAAAUUAUUUUUAUUGACACAUAGCUUGACUUUUUUCCUAAAAAAAUACUUUCAAAGUUUGACAUAGGUGAUAGACCAAGUAAUUAAGUAUUUUUAAUCGGUCUGUAUUAAUUUCACCGAUGUCUUCACUCUAAAAUGAAUUAUCUGCUGUAUUAGAUAUAAUUUUUUGUUAAUAAAACUCGUUCGUCAUUAUCAAUCCCUAUUGAAAUAUUUCCACAAACAAGUAAUCACCUAUCAGCGGAGAAAAACAGAGUGAGCUUUUUGUCUUUUGACAAAUAGAGGAGUGAGUUAUUGAACAAAAAUCUAACUUUAGUUAAGUUUGUCUCCGACAUAAGCUAAGUAAUUGUCUCUUCUCACCUGAUCAGUUAUCCCCAAUGUUUUCACUCAAAUAAAUUAUCAACAAUAUUACUACUAUAUAUUAGUAAAACUUUCUUUGUUAAAAUUAACACUUUCUCAUUAUCAUCGAUCGCUAUUAAAAUAUGUUUUCAAACAAAUCACUAAAUAAACCAUCAAAAUUCGCUGUUGAAAUUGUAUUUCUACCAAAAUAUUUCGGUAAAUUUAUGCUAUAUCAAAAGGCUUUAUUAUUUUGUCCUACGCCAAUCAAAACAUUCAUUCAUCAAUGAGUUCUAUUACAUCGUAAAGAAGCCAACAACCAUUUCUUUUUUUCUAUUUCUUUUUUUUCUUAAAUUCAUAAAUUUCUCAAAUUAAUAAAUCAACAAAUCCAUAGGUUGCACCACCUAAUUUGACAUAAGGUCAAUUAUUUGACACCUUUAUGUUUUUUUUUCUUUCAUACCUCUUUAUUUAAUGUAUUGACUUUGUGUAUGCAAGAUGAUAUUGGUCGUUAUGGUUUGUUUUAUAUGGGUUGAGAAAGUUGAGAAACUAGAUUUACUUACUGGCAAUACAACUAAUGACAAUGAAGUGGUGUAGAGGGAAGAUGAUUGUUGAAAGACAAAGUUGUUAGAAAAAGUUGACAAAAUAUUCCAUGAUUUUAAUUACUUUAAGAAAAAGUUUAUGACAUGGAAAUCUACAUGUUUAUGUAUCACUAUGCUGAGGGGGGCAUUGAGGGUUUUUGAGAGUUCAGGUCUCCAAAUUUUUAGAAGUUUUGUUUUAUAUAGAAAGACUUAUGUUGUUUUCUACAAGACUUGAAAUUAUGUUGCAAAAAUCUUGAAAGUUAUUUAAAAUAUGACCCUUCUUAUAAUCUUGAGAGUGAAAUUUUGUUUCAACCAUUGAAGCAAAAUCAAGUUUUAUGAUAUUGAAUUCUCUUUAAACAUUCCAUUAUUUUCUAAUGCUUACACAUCACAUAAAAUAAUAUUAACUAUCUCUAUUAUAUAUCAUCUGUUGAGAAGAGUUUUUAAAAAUUGAAAUUAUUAAAAUAUUAUUUAUGAUCUACAAUGUCAUAAAAUAAAUUAAUAGAAAUUAAAUAGUUUUACGUUGAUUUCAAUUGAAAAUAAUUUUUUAAAGAAUCUUUAUUGUAAACAAAUUGUUAAUGAUUUGCAGCAAAAAAAUGCAAUGAGGAUGAUAUUCAAAUUAAGAUUAAUAUGUGGAUGAAUGUUGUUGUUAAUAUUAGAUGUUACUAUUACAUAUUCAGGUGGAUAGAUAUAUGUAUAAUUAAUUUUGCUAUAAUAUAAUUUUGGUUUUGGUCUGAUAAGAACUUUUUCAAUGCUUAUAUAAUAUUUAGCUUUUAUGUGGAAGACUAUCUACAAUUUGAAUAGAGUAUUAAAUUUAUAAACUCGUACAGAACAAUCAAAAUCUCAUAGACAACCUUAUCACUGUGUUAUUUUUCGUGAUAUAUUAGUGCAUCUAACGGAACUUGUUGACACAUGAGACAUUUUGUUUGACUUUAGACAAAAUAGAUUAACUUUUUAGUAUAUCGUAAAAUUUGAGUAUGCAUUUUUUUUAUAAUCAUUUACAAAUUUAAAGGAAGGAAUUUGUGAUUAAGUCAUAAAUAAUCAUCUAUCAAUCAAAGUCGACUUAUAGCCCUUUCAAAAUGGAUCAUCACACAUGAUCUCAAAAUUUAAAGUCUCUAAAAAUUAAUUAUAUAGUAUCACUAUUUAUAAAUUAUUAAAUAUUUUAAGUCUAUCGGUUGAGAAAGAAAGACGUGAACAGUUUAACAAAACAAAGGCGACGAAUCACGCCACACUUGACUUAGAGCAACCAAAUGAACCAAUCAAUAAUUGUAUCGCCAGAAUACGUGUGAUGAAAACGAUGUCUACGUGGAACAAGUCCAAGGGUAGGCUGUGGUCCCAGACAACACAAGAUUAUGACACGCGGACGGUCAAGAUUUUACUGAUUAUUCUCUAGCGCAUUAUAAAUUGGGGUCACCGAACAUCAGUUAAGGUAAACAAGUUCCCACCUAGAUUGUUCUUUUUGCAAAUUGUGUUGUGUGAUUUUAUCUGUCUUUUGAGAAUAUGUCUGGCUGCAACUGUGGAAGUAGCUGCAACUGUGGCGAUAGCUGCAAGUAAGGACCACCUUAAUUUUUUCUUGUACUGUUUAUUUCUUAUCUUUAUUAUCAUGAUUAAUGAAAAAGAUUAUUCUUAAUAUUUAGAUUUUUUUUUUCAAAAUCCUUUUGGCUGGGUUUUAUGAAGGAUGCUUCAUUUAUUUCUUUUUUUCUACCUGUUUUUUUUUUCUGACGCGGUUUUUUAUUUUUUAUAUUUUAAAUUGGCCUUCUGGUUACCUAGCUAAUUUUGAUGAAACUUGAUGAGUGCUUAGGAGAGUUUUUUUUUUUUUUUUUUAACAACUUAGGAGGGGAUAUUUAUUGUGAGUGUUUCACAAACUUAUGAAGAUAUUUUCGUGAGUUUUUUUUUCUUCUGAAAUAGCUUAUAUUAAUAAUUAAUUGGAAAAAUACGAAAAUAUUAAAUAGUUAAUAUCCAUGAAGCUCUUAAAUAACACACAAAUUUUGUUUUUAACUUUUAAAAUUAUUCAUUUUUGUAAUUUAACUUUUGUUUCAAUUUUUAUUUAUUUAAAUUUUGACACAGACUAUUAGGGUAUAAUCUAUAAAUUCAUAUUUUAAUAAUCUUUCUUUUUAAUUAUAUAGUACUGAAAAGAUAAAAUUUUGACUUUAGCACAAUGGAAAUUCAAAACAUUCAAUUUUUUUUCUCUAAUAUUUAUUGCCUAAUAAAUUUUUUUGUACUUUUGUUUUAAUUGUCCUAAGUACUAGUACUUUUUUUGUUCAAGUUUACAUUUCACAAUUCAUGUAUAUAAAAAUGUUAACUUUUGUUGCUUCACAGAUGCAACAAGAGAUCAGGAUUGAGCUAUGUCGAAGCCGGCGAAACCACAGAGACGGUGGUUUUGGGCGUUGGUCCGACAAAGAUCCAUUUCGAGGGAGCUGAAAUGAGUGUUGCAGCUGAAGAUGGUGGCUGCAAGUGUGGAUCAAGCUGCACAUGUGACCCUUGCAACUGCAAGUGAGGUGCUUAUAACAAAUGAAAGCUUGAAGCAGAUAUGUGUAAUUGUGUGUAUGGUAUGGUACACAUAUAAUGUAUAAUAAGAAUGUGUGUUUGCUUUGUUAAAAUGUUAAAGUGGUCACGGAUCUCACCUUUAGCAAAUUGAAAUGUUAUAAUUAGAUUUUGUCGAAGGUGAUAUCAGAGAAUUGUUGUCUUUCAUGUGUAAGCAAAUAUAGCUAAUAUGAAUCAUAAUUCUCUGCUUCUUCAAUGAAAUAAAUCUUUGCUUAUCAUAGCUUGGUUUUAGAAGUUUUUUCAGUUUUUGAAAAAUCAAAAUAUAAAAAUAAUCUAAAAACUACUUUUAAUGAGAAGUUCUUGGAACUAUUUUGAUUUGAAGAACAAUAGUUUCCUAAUUAUAUUUGAUGAUAACAAUAUAUAUAUAUAUAUAAUUAAAAUCUAUCAAAAUAAGGAUUUUAGAAAUUUUAACAUAUCAAAUCUAUCACUAAGGAGUUUUAAUUAAGAUAAGAGUGGUGGACAAAAGAGAUAAUAUAGAAAAUAUUCAAAGGGCAAUAAGGAGAAUUUCUCUCCAUUUUCCCUCAUUUAUUCCUUCAAAGAGAAAAAGACUCAAUCAUUCGAUUCGCUCUCUCCCGUGUCCUAAACUUCAAAGAAACCUUCCAUUGGUACUCUUCAUCGCCUCUCUCAAAUACUCUAUUUCUCAUUCUUUUUCAAAACCACCAAAAACAUUAGUUUACUAAACUUCAUAACGUCGGACCUGCCCAUGCAUUCGCUCUCUCCCGUGUCCUAAACUUCAAAGAAACCUUCCAUUGGUACUCUUCAUCGCCUCUCUCAAAUACUCUAUUUCUCAUUCUUUUUCAAAAUCACCAAAAACAUUAGUUUACUAAACUUCAUAACGUCGGCCCUGACCCAUUGCAUGGGCAGGUUCAGCGUUCAACUUUCAAUAGUUGACCAAAUCACAUUGAAGAGAAAACAAGCAACAAGGAAAAACUCCAAAACAAUUGGAAUAAGAUGCGAAUACUAAAGAGGAAAAUAGAUAACUACUCCAAAUCAACUCAAAUCGAAUAGGAUAACUUUCAUAGAAUAAUGUGAGUUAUGUUACAUUAACUUCUUUUAACAUGAUGAUUAUGGGAAUUAAUUCUCUAAAACUCUUUAAUUCUUGUCAAAAGUUGUUUUGGUGGAAUUACGGGUUAGAAGAAUUUAGAGCGUUAGGAAAUGAAUUUUUUAGCAUAUAAGUGUUUUGAAAUUGCACCCAAAUGAUUUUAAAUGUCAUACACGUUGUUCGUUUGAUCUUUGUAUAAUUGUUGUGUUAAAUUUUUUGGAACUCUUGGGAUUUUGAGUAAAGAAUUGUAGUUUAAUGUGUAAAUCCUAUCACUGAAGGCAAAUGUGUGUGUCUUAGAAGCUCUUUGACUCUUGUCUCUAUAGUUUUGCCUCUAGGUGUCAUUUUGUAACCUUGGGGUUUUUGUCUCUGAUUGUUGUUUUAAAAACCUAAGUAUUUUUACCUUCGAUAAUUCUUUUCUAUUUGCUACCUCUGAUUCCUAACUCAUGAUUUUCGACAUUCUACCUCUGAUGAAUAAUUUAUGUUUUUUGGUAUGUUGCCUCUAAUGCUGUUUCUCAACUCUGAGCAUUUUUGCCUUUAGGUUUUCCUUCUGUUUUUACCUUUGGUAGCUGUUUUAUUAUUUGUUGUAUUUUGCAUCUAGUAAAUUAUUUUUGAUUUUGCCUCUAGUGAAAUGCUUCUAUUUUGCCUCUGAUAAUACUCAAGCUCCUCUGAUCAGGCUUUCUUUUAUCCAAGUUUCUCUUAUCAAAAUGCAUAUGAUGCACGUAUCUUCUAAUCAUGCUGCCUUUAGUCCAAGUUCUUCUGAUCAUGCUACCCCUUAUCCAAGUUCCUCUGAUCACACUACAUCUAAUCUAAGUUCUUAUGAUUCUUCCUCUUGACACGUAUUCUUUGAUUCUUCAUUUGGACGCGUAUCAUCCAAUUCUUCCUCUAAAUGUGUAUCCUCUGAUUCUUCCUCUGAACGUGUAUCCACAUAUUCUUUCUCUAGACAUGUAUCCUCUGAUUCUACCUCUAGAUGUGUAUCCUUUGAUUAUUCUCUGAUUCUUCCUUUCUAUGUUUAUCCUCUAAUUCAUCCUCUAACUCUGUGUUUGGUCACAUAUCUUCUGACUCCGAUUAUGUUGCCUUUGACCUAUAUACUUCUAGUUAUGUUGCAUCUGGUUAGAGUUUUCCUUUGGUUCCAGCUUUGAUCUGGAGUUUAGAUUUAAUUCCCAGUUGAUUUUCAAUAUAUUUUUAAGUUAUUAUAAGUGUUAUGGGGUAACGAUGCAUUGCAAAUAUCAUACUAUCAAGGGCAUUGCAUACAUAACAUCUCAAGUGCAUUACACUCUUAUUAAUCAGAUCAUGCAAGGUCUUAUUUACGUGGGACAUUUAGGUUUGUUCUAGGCAUGGAAUAAUAGGUAGAUGAGAACAAUCAGGACGCUGGUUAGAGUUUGGUCUGACAUCAUUUACCAAUCAAGACUCAAUUAUCUUGGUGACAUACAUUAAGAUAUUGAGUGAAUCUUCCUUGUUUCAAGGAAAAAAAUUUAGGUCAUGCAUAGUUUUCAAAAUCAUAAUGAAAGAAUGAUUUCAGUUAAGCUUUUAUGAAAAAUUGAAGUUAAGAGCUCCAUCAUGAGAUGCAUCAUAAUUUUAUAUUUUUAUGCAUAUUUAUGAAUAAAUCUUUUUAAACUACUCCUUCCUUUAUUUUUAGAUCUCAGUAAGCUUUUUAUCUCACCUAUUUUAUUUUUUAUACAUUAACAACUGAAGGUGACUGAUGCUCAGUUCCAGUACUAGAACAUGAUAUGCAAGCUCUGUUUUGUACUUAGUGCUUUAUUUUUUUUAUUUGAUGUAACAUGAUGUAUUAGGGAACAUUUUUAUAAUUUCAGUAUUGUUGCUGUAAUUUAAUCAAAUAGUUCAUUAUAUUGAGUUGUAAACUAUGUUGUUUAAAUGUAGUUACAAGUUAUUUUAAUGAUACUUAUUAUUGAUUUGUAAUAGUUGUUUUUCUUUUAUUGAGGUGUAUGGUUUCAAUUGUCAAAUUCUAGAUAAUUAAUAAUGGAUCUUAAAAAUUUAAAAUUAUUUAUAAAUAAUUUAAAAUUAUAAUAAAUAAAUUAUUUUAAAUUAUUUACUUUAAAUUAGUAUUUAUUAAAAUUCUUUUAAAAUUUAUAUUAUAUAAGUUGUUUAUUUACAUUAUUUAAAAUUAUAAUAAAUAUAUUAUAAGGGGUAAAAAUGAAUUAUAGGCAUAAUAAUAAAGAUAAAAUUAAAAGAAAAAUAGUAAACUAAAAUCUAUAAAUUUAUAAGCUUCUUGAAUUGACUGAUAUAAAAUCGUUAUAAACUAUAAUCUAUAAGUCCAUAAAUGACUGUUAUCAAACAGACUUUAUAACUUAUAAAUUAUAAACUCUUUUGUUGGACUUACCAAAAAGAGGAAAAUUUUAUACUAUAUUCUUAUGUUUUAUACAAUCUAUCUAUUUUACUCUUUUUUUUAAAAAAAAAAUACUUUUUUUCUACUCUGCUAAAUAGUUUAUUUCAAAUUUUCCUAAAUGUUUCAAAAAUUUUGAAUUUUGUGUAUCGUAAAUUUUUUUAAAAAUUUUUCAGUAAACAAAUAUAUUUUUAAAAAAUUGAUCUUUAUGUAUAAAAAUUGGAAAUUUGAAACUUUUUUAAAAUUUUUUUUUUAAAACAAAACAUAAGAUUUUACUUUUUUAUAAAAAAAAAUAAAAUAAAAAGAAAAAUUUAUUAAUUUGUUGGGGUUGAAAAAUCUGGAGUAAAGUUUUUCAUAAAGAUGCAUGAGGUAGAAGAUAAGCCAAGUAAUUUACUCUUCUCAGUCGGCUGAACUUAAAAUAAAUUAUCCGCGAUUAGAUAUUAACUUUUAUGUUAAAAAUACUCGUUCGUCAUUAUCAAUCGCUAUUAAAAUAAUUCCUCAACAAGUAAUCAUCUAUUAGCGAAGAAACAUAGGAGUGAGUUAUUUACCAAACGAACGCGACGAAUCAUGCUACACUUGACUUAGAGAAACCAAGCAAUAAUUGUAUCGCCAAAAUACGAGUGAUGAAAACGAUGUCUACGUGGAACAAGUCCAAGGGUAGUCUGUGGUCCCAGACAACAUUAGAUUAUGACACGUGGACGGUCUAUAUUUCACUUAUUAUUCUCAAGCGCAUUAUAAAUUGGGGUCACGGAAUAUCAGUUAAGGCAACAAGUUCUCACCAAUAUUGUUCUUUUUGCAAAUUGUGUUGUGAGUGAUUUUAUCUUUGUCUUUUGAGAAUAUGUCUGGCUGCAACUGUGGAAGUAGCUGCAACUGUGGUGAUAGCUGCAAGUAAGGACCACCUUAAUUUUUUGUUAUACUGUUUAUUUCUUAUCUUGGAAAAUAUUCUUAAUAUUUUGAUUCGUUUUUUCAGUUCUAUUUGCUGGCUUCUACGAAUUUUGUUUUGUUUUUAAAAAAAUUGAAGAAUGAGACAUUAUUAUUAUCUAUUGAUGUUACAUAGUUAAUGCUUGAUUUUUUCUCUACAUGAGAUUAUUUUUAUUGUUAAAAGAAAUAUAAGAUUUCACUUUUUUUUUGUCUUAUCGUAAUUAUUACUCUAAAGAGAUUUUUAUAUUCGAAUUUGACACACACAAUAAGUUCAAUCUAAAAAUAUCUAACUUUGACGAAAAUUAAAGAAAAUGAAAAAUAUAUUUUUUUUUUAAUUCUAAUAGCUAUUGAUAAAUAAAUUAUUUUCUCUAAUUCAAGUUUUAUAUUUCAAAUUGUGUGUGUGGAUGUUAAUUUUUAUUGCUUCACAGAUGCAACAAGAGGUCUAGUGGAUUGAACUAUGCCGAAGGCGGCGAAACCACAGAGACGGUGGUUUUGGGCGUUGGUCCGACGAAGAUUCAGUUCGAGGGAGCUGAAAUGAGUGUUGCAGCUGAAGAUGGUGGCUGCAAGUGUGGAUCAAGCUGCACAUGUGACCCUUGCAACUGCAAGUGAGGUGCAUAUAGCAAAUGAAAGCUUGAGGCAGAGAUAUUGGAACCAAUAUGUGUAAUUGUGUGUAUCGGUACACAUAUAAUAUAUAAAAAAAAGCAUGUGUGUUUGCUUUAUUAGAAUAAUAAAGUUGUCAUGGAUCUCACCUUUAGCAAAUUGAAAUUUUCUAAUUAGAUUUUGUUGAAGGUGUUGUGAGAGCAAUGGUUGCUUUGUGUGUUGAUUUUCUUGUGUAAGCAAAUUUAGCUAAUAUGAAUCAUAAAUCUCUGCU
rnacentral:lncRNA from 1 species